UCGAGAACAACUAUAUUUUCUCCACGAGUGCAUUCGCCAGCAUGUUCUGCCAACAAGUGUAAGAUACAGACCUCCAAUCAACUGCCCAUUAGAAUGGAAAAUAGCUGAGCAAAGUGGAAGAAAAAUGGUUCAUCUAAUGAUAAUGGACACACAUUACAGGAUCCGCAAAUACCCACAUGUCAUAGAAGACCAAAAGAGGAAGCUACAACAGACAUUCACACCAUAACACUUCGAAACCUUGACAAUAGCCAUCGAAACAUUAUGCAAAAGACACAGAGAAAAAAAGAAACGUCCUUAAAAAGAAAAUAAUCAAAAUCUCAAAACCGACCAUUGAUCGUAAGGCAAUGUGGUGUUUAGGGUGGCUUCAGACAUUACUGCUCUGUCCCAAGUUCAGCAAUGAGUACGGCUUCCCAUUCUGGCCCAAAGAGGGUGAAAGGCCCGUGGGGGCAGAGAUCAAGUGUGACAGUUUUGCUCUGAGCUACCCUUGGAGUCGGGUUGUUUGUGAAUGCACUCCAAUGGGUGGUAAACUCCAUCCAAGGCUAAAUACUUACACGAGUCGCACGAAAUUGAGCAAUAACAGGUUUGUGACGCCCUUAGAUGUCCGGGGCCACACGUGCGCUAUAUUAACGGUGCCAGCGAUUAUGGAAACCUGGCCCGAAAGUGUUGGGCAAACUGUUUCAUCACCGUCGUGACUGGGAUCGGGGCUUGCAAUUAAUCCCCGUGAACGAGGAUUUCCUGGUUAAUGCAAGUGAUAAGCUUGCGCUGAUUACGUCCCUGCCCUUUGUACACACCGCCAGUCACUACUACCGAUUGAAUGGUUUAGUGAGGUCGUUGGAUUGGCGUCGUUGUAGUGUCUUUGCCGCUCGACUGAUGCUGAGAAGAUGACCUAAUUUGACUAUUUAGAGGAAGUAAAAGUCGUAACAAGGUUUCCGUAGGUGAACCUGCGGAAGGAUCAUUAACAUGAUUCAAAAAUAUAUAAUUACGCAUGCACCUGGCUUCGUGCUGGACUGCAUGUACCCUGGCUUAGUGGAAAUUCACCCCAGGCUUCAGUGGUUAUUAUUUUCUUGACCGGGGUACCUAGCCUGUCAUAUGCCCUGAUGGUGUUCUCGUGACUUUCGGGUUGCCUGAUCUGCCAAGGGCGAUGGGACAGUGCAUGACAGUAUUGUUGUGUGCUAGGUUCAAAGAGAAUUUUUUGCUAUGUGCGUGCAAGUCCGCCCCGUUAUUGUUCCUAUUUCAAACCUUUUACACUGUUGAAGCGAUCCGGAUUGGCUUGCCAUUCACGGGUUUGCUGCCUGGCAUGCACCUGGCUUCGUGCUGGACUGCAUGUACGCUGGCUUAGCGGUAAACAUCCUGGGCUGCAGCGUUAACCAUUAGUUCUAUGCAUUUGGGUAACCGAUGUAUGGGAUUAUUGGCGUACUACUUUGAGCGGUGGAUCACUCGGCUCGUGUGUCGAUGAAGAGUGCAGCCAACUGUGUGAAUUAAUGUGAACUGCAUACUGCUUUGAACAUCGACAUCUUGAACGCAUAUUGCGGCUACGGGAUAUCCUGUGGCCACGCCUGUCCGAGGGUCGGCUUUUCAUCUAUCACGGCACACAUUAAGUCGUGGAUUGGGCGAGUGCUUGCCGGCGUUUAAACCCGUAUAUCAAUGCGGGUUGCUGGUCAAAGGCUCCGUCCUAAUAAUCCGGCCACAGCCU
rnacentral:rRNA from 1 species